GGACACAAACCCUGGGAGUAGAGUAAUAGUCACUACUGUUACUCCAGUACCAAAUGCAAAAAUACCCCACCCAGGCCCAAGAUUCCAUGCCAUGUUCUUUUGCCUGAAUGGAGCAAGGGAGGGGUUUCUCAAUGGGUGUAGGCCAUUCAUUGGUGUUGAUGGAUGCUUCAUUAAGCUCACUACAGGAGCUCAACUCCUUGCUGCCACUGGUAGAGAUGGCAACAACAACAUAUAUCCACUGGCAUUUGGCAUAGUUGGACAAGAGGACACACCUAGUUGGUGUUGGUUUCUACACCAACUGAAAAUUUGCCUAGGUGGAGAAGUGGGCAAGUUUGGACCUUGUACUAUAAUGUCGGAUAGACAAAAGGUAUGUGUUUGCACAUUUCAUUUUGUUUUGCACAAGUGUUAACAGUAGCUAAGAGUUUCAUUGGUGCAUAUUUAUUUACCUUGUAGCUUAGACUUGUUAAAUUGUUUGUGUUAGGGGUUAUUGAAUGCAGUGAAUGUUGUCUUUCCAAAUUGCAACCAAAGAUUCUGCCUUAGGCAUUUAUAUGCAAAUUUCCAAAAUGCUGGGUUUAGGGGUGAAGAUAUUAAGAAGUGUAUGGAUAAUGCUAGCUAUGCCUACAAUGAACACAAAUUUAAUAUUGCAAUGAAUGAUCUUAGAGCUGAAAGUGAGGAAGCUCGGGAGUGGCUUACUGCAAUACCAAAAAAAACA